UACGUAGGAGACGAGCGUUGUCCGGAAUUACUGGCGUAAAGCGCGUGUAGGCGGAUGGGCAAGUCUGCUGUGAAGCUCCUGGCUUAACCGGAGUGGUCGGUGGAAACUGCCAAUCUGGAGGACGGUAGAGGUAGGUAGAAUUCCCGGUGUAGUGGUGAAAUGCGUAGAGAUCGGAGGAAUACCUGUGGCGAAGGCGGCCUACUGGCCGGACCUGACGCUGAGACGCGAAGGCGUGGGAGCGAACGG
rnacentral:rRNA from 1 species